CGAAAAAUUUUGCGAUAUCUGUUUUGACAGCAAAUCUCUCGUGAAACAAUAAACAGAGCACACCUUAUAUAAUAAAGAUUUGUCGGAAAAUCGGCAAAUUCAUCAUAAAUUCCAUAAAUUGAAAGCAAAUAUUAAAAAUGGACGGCCCACAAUCGAAAGCAACAAAUCUUUGGGUCCGUGGUGUCUUGGAGCACCCAUCACUCAAGAAACCAUUUAAGGCAAACUUUUUAACCUAUGCAUGUUUUGCCUUUUUGGGUGGGUACUUCCUUUACAAUAUUCCAAAAAUGAUCUUUUUGGAUGGAUGCAGAGAACCAGAACGCACCGCUUCUGAUGCAAAGAAAUAUGAUCGUGCAACCAAAAGCUAUGUCGGAUAAGUGCUAUUUUAAAUUGGUUAUCUGUCUCAUGUGAAAGAUUCUCAAUAAAAUUGUUCAAAAAGAUAUGAAUUUAGUUAAAA